rnacentral:rRNA from 1 species
UACGGAGGGAGCUAGCGUUGUUCGGAAUUACAGGGCGUAAAGCGCACGUAGGCGGCUUUGUAAGUUAGAGGUGAAAGCCCGGGGCUCAACCCCGGAAUUGCCUUUAAGACUGCAUCGCUUGAAUCCGGGAGAGGUGAGUGGAAUUCCGAGUGUAGAGGUGAAAUUCGUAGAUAUUCGGAAGAACACCAGUGGCGAAGGCGGCUCACUGGACCGGUAUUGACGCUGAGGUGCGAAAGCGUGGGGAGCAAACAGG